UACGUAGGAGGCAAGCGUUGUCCGGAAUUACUGGGCGUAAAGCGCGCGCAGGCGGCGAUCUACGUCUGGGGUGAAAGCCCGGAGCUCAACUCCGGGACUGCCUUGGAUACGGGAUCGCUUGAGGAUUGGAGAGGCAAGGGGAAUUCCACGUGUAGCGGUGAAAUGCGUAGAUAUGUGGAGGAACACCUGUGGCGAAGGCGCCUUGCUGGCCAAUUUCUGACGCUGAGGCGCGAAAGCGUGGGGAGCAAACAGG
rnacentral:rRNA from 1 species